GCACACUGGAACAUUUCUCCCCUUUCAUCAUGGAUGCACUGAAGAAGAGUUUAACUUUACUGGAUGAGGAGCCGCCACCUGGCCCUCCAUGCCGCCCCUUCCAGGUUGGACGCCUCCAGGACCUCCAGGCCACCGCCGCCUCCAGGACCUCCGCCUCAGUCCUUCUGAAAGAUCUCACUGAUGCCCUACUGUGCAGCCUUGAGUGAGGUAUUAUUAACCCAACAGCCAGCCACACACACCUAGCCUACAUCCUGGAGCUGGUCCUAGUGGCUGAGAAUGCAUCUGACCUUUUUCAGAACACCUCAGAGUGGCUGUGGCUGCAUCAUGUCAAAGCAGGCGCCUCCAGACGACCGCCACGGACCUCACGGCGAGCACCUCCAGACGACCGCCACGGACCUCACGGCGAGCACCUCCAGACGACCGCCACGGACCUCACGGCGAGCACCUCCAGACGACCGCCACGGACCUCACGGCGAGCACCUCCAGACGACCGCCACGGACCUCACGGCGAGCACCUCCAGAC
ensembl:lncRNA